CUAGUGCACUUACAAACCCGAAAUUUCCAACCAUACAGGGUAACGCCCACUGCUGUGACGUUUCAUCGCCACUCUAAAUGCUAUAUUGUAUUCUAACAUAUCAAGCUAAGCUGAAUUCAUAGUGAUCACCCGACCAUGACCGACGCAUAACCGCCGCGAGUGAAAAAUAGUGCUCUGAAUUUCUGAAAACUUCGAUUUAUUGCAAACAGAAGUGGAGACAAGAAAUUUAUUUUUUGAAAAUAAUGUGCAAUUGAGCUUGAAUUACGGUAUUAGAAACGUAGCGGAUAUAAUUUGAAAGGUCACAUAAUUCUAUGAAUGGGAUAGUAAAUUAAUUGGGUCAUAGUGCUUGACGGCUUGCAAUAUUUAACUUACUCAUCCGCCUUAUCAUCACAUUUUUUUGUAUUAUAUUCCAGAAUUUUUGAAAAAGACAUUAUUUAUCGGAUAAAUUUUGUAGUUUAUAAUUGCAAAGUGGAUAUUGAAAUAGAAUUAGCCAGAGAUGUAGAUAAUCUAUUCGUCUCUGAAUUAGCCGAUAAUUAGGUUAAAUGAAUCCGACAACUUCCGGUAUAUUUUUCGACCUACUUCACGAGCAUAAUUAUCAGCCUGUUAAGCUCAUAAGGGAAAUAAAAGAUUAUUUACUUUAAUAUUCACUUGGAAAGGCUGGUACAUGUAGCUAGAAAAAAGUACAGUAUAAGAUUAAAGAAAGACUAGAAGAUUAUUACAAACAACAGGUGGACAUGUGUCACUGUCAAGCGAAUGAAGAUAAGCAUCACACUCGGUGGGAAUCUCCAGUUUCCAGAUGUAGUGAUCAUAACUGUAUAGGCACCAUUAACACUUUGGACUAGUUGGAGUAUUUUAGAGGGCUAGUCUGAAUUGAAUCCCCUGUCAAUAGUAAAGGCCAGUCAUGAACAUUGUGUUGAAGGAA